GAUGAACGCUGGCGGCGUGCCUAAUACAUGCAAGUCGAGCGAACAGACGAGGAGCUUGCUCCUCUGACGUUAGCGGCGGACGGGUGAGUAACACGUGGAUAACCUACCUAUAAGACUGGGAUAACUUCGGGAAACCGGAGCUAAUACCGGAUAAUAUAUUGAACCGCAUGGUUCAAUAGUGAAAGACGGUUUUGCUGUCUCUUAUAGAUGGAUCCGCGCCGCAUUAGCUAGUUGGUAAGGUAAAGGGCUUUCAAGGGAACGAUGCGUAGCCGACCUGGGAGGGUGGUCGGCCACCCUGGAACUGGACCCGCGACCCAGCUCCUAAGGGAGGGCACAGUAGGGAAUCUUCCGCAAUGGGCGAAAGCCUGACGGAGCAACGCCGCGUGAGUGAUGAAGGUCUUCGGAUCGUAAAACUCUGUUAUUAGGGAAGAACAAAUGUGUAAGUAACUAUGCACGUCUUGACGGUACCUAAUCAGAAAGCCACGGCUAACUACGUG
rnacentral:rRNA from 1 species